rnacentral:rRNA from 1 species
GGUGGCGACCGGCGCACGGGUGCGUAACGCGUAUGUAACCUACCUAUAACAGGGGCAUAACACUGAGAAAUUGGUACUAAUUCCCCAAAAUAUUCGGAGAGGCAUCUCUCCGGGUUGAAAACUCCGGUGGUUAUAGAUGGACAUGCGUUGUAUUAGCUAGUUGGUGAGGUAACGGCUCACCAAGGCAACGAUACAUAGGGGGACUGAGAGGUUAACCCCCCACACUGGUACUGAGACACGGACCAGACUCCUACGGGAGGCAGCAUG